rnacentral:tRNA from 13 species
UCUAAUAUGGCAGAAUAGUGCAAUGAAUUUAAGCUUCAUAUAUAAAGAUUUAAUCUUUUAUUAGAA